GCAAUGAGUGAAGGUGAGAGUGCAAAAGUUAUCAUCUUUCUCAUACCCUUUUCACUGUUUUUGAAGAAUCUGACGGUGGGGAAUUCAUCAGACAGUGUAUUUGGUUGGGAAUGAAAAAUGGUUGGGAAUUCAUAGAUAGAUGGUGUUCAUUUAAAAUCUCAGCUUGGUUCAUUCAUGUGGUCCUCUACCACUCUAUGACCACCCUGCCUACCCAGUACUGAUGGAAUUUUUGUUGGUUCUGCUGCUAACUACAGCACCUGAAACAGUGAAAUUUGAAAGCUCUCUUUCUUUAAAAGCCUUCUUUCUUUCUUUGUACUCUAGAGACUAGAGUGGACUCAAGUUCUGGCCAGCUUCGUCUCAAUACAUUGUCUUCAGUUUUUCUUUUUUCUUUCUGUUUCUUUCUCUUCUGUUUCAUCACCUUUCAAGGAUCUGCAGUCAUUCACCACAAAUCUUGCUUCCUCUCCGUGAUGAAAAACUUUCAGAAUUUGGUUUCCAUACACAAACCUCAGUUUCAGAAAAGCUCCUUUCUUUUGUUUUUCCUCUGAAGAACUGGUGCUUGUUCAUGUCUAUGUACUAGUUGGUAAAUUCCCCCACCCACCUAGAAGUUUUUGUUUCUGGGUCUUAUUCUUCUCAUUUUUUUUUCUAAGCAGAAGGGUCCUUUCUUUUGCCUUGUUUCUUUGAAUCUGCGUGUUGUUGUGAAGAGUGAUUAUUAGUAGUGCUGCCUGCAACAUGUCAGCGAUGGAUCUUUUUCAAAAACCAUCUUCUCUCAAGUCAAACAGAUUUGAAACAGCCAUGUGGGCUGCAAAGCUUGUGCUCAUGUCCAUGGGGGUUGUCUCCACUCUUGUUUUGUUUAAAGUGACAGUAGUCCCAUACACAUUCCACCUUCUUCUCUCCACUCUUCCUCAGUUUUGGGUCUCAGUUAGAAGCCGGCUAACACUCCCAUUCCUUUACAUCAUUGUCAACUUCAUCAUCGUCAUCAUUGCAGCUUCCUCCAACUUCCACCCCAAAAGCAAUAGCCACCCCAAACCCUUCUCUGAUUCUUCUGCAUCCUCUGAUCCCAAGCACGCAACCACCAUUUCAGACACUGCCAGCCACCCAACCGAGCCAGAGAGCCAAACAAAUGAACCCAAGGAAGAAGAAAAGGAGGUUGAAGAAGAACAAGAGCUAGAGCAAAAGCAAGAGCAAGAGCAAAAGGUGCUUGAAGAGAAUGAUUUGUCCUAUGACAGAAUCGUGCUCCACCCUUUGCUAGAAAAUUGCACCAAUGAUUAUCUAUUGCCGGAUUCCGGUGGUGAUGACACGCUGGAAGCCACGUGGAAGGCUAUCAUGGAGGGACAGGGGGAAACGAUGAGGCCACAGCUGAAGAAGAGCGACACAUGGGGCGCAAGGAUUGCCAAGGCAGAGCCAUUUCGUCGCAAUGGAGAAGGUGAUGAUGAUGACGACCCUGUGGCUUGGGCUCAGAAGGAGCUCAAAAAGUCAGACACUUUCAACGAUAGAGCUUCCUUGAGAAGGGAAAAAUCCAUGAGUCUAGAGGAACUGAAUCGCAGGGCAGAAGCUUUCAUUAAGAAAUUCAACCAUCAAAUGAAGUUGCAGAGGCUGGAAUCUAUCCAGCGUUUCAAGGAAAUGGUAAAUCGCCGUGUCUGAUGUGGCUAGCUAUUCUCUUUCUUUUUCACCAGUCACAGUGAAAAUUUAGCCAAGUGAUGAGAAUCUAUGGAACUUUGUUGACCAUUUUGAAGGACUUGCUGUGUACAUAUUUUUGCUGCUGAGACUGUGAAGAAGCCAAGACAAGUAUCAGACAUGGUGUACUUUUUCCCUUGUCAAGUUUCUUGUGACAUGGUGGGCAUAAGUUGGUUUCUCCCAAUCUGUUGUGCUCUUUCUUUGCUCCAGAUCUUUGCUCUACAUGUUCUACUAAACUAUUCAGAAGUUUAGUUUUUCUCAUAUCAUCUAAUGUUUGUAUUGAUUAUGUAGUUUGGACCUAGGUAGCAUUAUGAGGCGAUUGUUUAAUAUCGAAUGUACAAUUUCUGCUAUUUUAUGCAGACUUAAUAAUUUACCAAUUAAUCCAGCUUCAAAAUGCUUGGUGAGCGAAAAAGUACUAUGUUGGUCUGAGUGGAGUUGGAUCAAAGUGGGUUUGAGUUUGGCAGAUGAAUAAACAUGGUUUUAAAAAAUAAAAAGGCUACGUCGUAGAUUCUAUUUGCUGAAUGGUUGUCCCUUUUUACUUUUAUAAUUACAAGAGAACCGACACAGAAGGAAGGGGGAACAAACUUGGAUACAUACCAUUUGAACCAAAUCAUAUACACCUAACAUUAACAAGUGACAACCGUACUCAUCAUGCAAGGAGUUGAUAUAUAGCAGCUCGUGUACAUAGGUAGACCAGACCCUUUGGCGUAUUAUAGGGCAAGAAAGGAACUGAGCCUUUUAUUUUAUUAAUUUUUCUUUUGGGUACAUGGAUUGAAGUAGAUGAAAGAAGAUAAAUUGAAUGUAGUGUGAGGAGUGAGUUGUCCUUUCAACUGUGCAUGGUUGCAUGUGACCAUCAAUGGAGAUAAGUUGGCUUAAGCAGAUUGGUUAUGCUGUCAAAGUCUACAAAAGCACAAUUAGUUUUGGAUGAAAUUAUGGGAUUAUGGCAGUAAACUUGGUGAACGGAAGCACAUGGUGAGUAUCUGUCAGCAUGGUAUAGAUCAUUAUAGAUCUAGUGGGACUUGCUGUUUCUUUAAGCCUUCAUUUUAAUUAUGACACCCUUAGGUCGGAAAGCACGUUGCCCCCUUACAUGCCAGUGAAAAUUGAAGCAGAAAGAGCCCCAUGUCUAUUGUUGUGUCAUGAAGUAUAAGUGCAGAACUUCAUAAAGAAGUAGGACCUUUGUACAAUUGAAAAUGUAAGUGGAUCCAAGUUGUGAGAGUCUUUUUAUUUGUGAGAAACCAAACCAAACCAAACCACAGACACGGACCCCCAUCUUCUGCCUGCAAAAUACCUUUAGCUUCAUUUGGGAAAGUUCAGUUUUUUAUUAUAAUACUGCCUUCUCCUUCUAUUUUGACGCUUUCUACUUUUGUCAAUGAAUUC